AAGGAAUAUCUUGUAUAAUGGA
rnacentral:miRNA from 1 species